rnacentral:rRNA from 1 species
UACGUAGGCAGCGAGCGUUGUUCGGAAUUACUGGGCGUAAAGAGUGUGUAGGCGGCGCGGUAAGUCGGGUGUGAAAUCUUGGAGCUUAACUCCGAAACUGCAUUCGAUACUGCCGUGCUUGAGGACUGGAGAGGAGACUGGAAUUUACGGUGUAGCGGUGAAAUGCGUAGAUAUCGAGAGGAACACCUGCGGCGAAGGCGGGUUGCUGGGCCGACACUGACGCUGAUGCGCGAAAGCCAGGGGAGCGAACGGG